rnacentral:rRNA from 1 species
UGGGGAAUUGUUCGCAAUGGGGGAAACCCUGACCCAGCAACGCCGCGUGAAGGAUGAAGUAUUUCGGUAUGUAAACUUCGAAAGAAUAGGAAGAAUAAAUGACGGUACUAUUUAUAAGGUCCGGCUAACUACGUGCCAGCAGCCGCGGUAAUACGUAGGGACCAAGCGUUGUUCGGAUUUACUGGGCGUAAAGGGCGCGUAGGCGGCAUGACAAGUCACUUGUGAAAUCUCUGGGCUUAACCCAGAACGGCCAAGUGAUACUGUCGCGCUAGAGUGCAGAAGGGGCAAUCGGAAUUCUUGGUGUAGCGGUGAAAUGCGUAGAUAUCAAGAGGAACACCUGAGGUGAAGACGGGUUGCUGGGCUGACACUGACGCUGAGACGCGAAAGCGUGGGGAGCAAACAGGAUUAGAUACCCCAGUAGUCCCUGAGCGGGCUGGCAAGGCGCAU